UACGAAGGGGGCUAGCGUUGUUCGGAAUUACUGGGCGUAAAGCGUGCGUAGACGGUAGCGUAAGUCGGGUGUGAAAGCCCCGGGCUCAACCUGGGAAUUGCAUUCGAGACUGCUCUGCUAGGGUGCGGAAGAGGGAAGCGGAAUUUCCGGUGUAGCGGUGAAAUGCGUAGAUAUCGGAAGGAACACCAGUGGCGAAAGCGGCUUCCUGGUCCAGCACCGACGUUCAGGCACGAAAGCGUGGGGAGCAAACAGG
rnacentral:rRNA from 1 species